rnacentral:lncRNA from 1 species
GGACGAACCUGUCUGUGCUGACGUCUCUCUGUGCUGGCUCCUCCCGACUGACCCGGGAGCUUCUCACCAGCCCAGCCACAGAGGAGAAUGGAGCCGCAAAGGCAGCUGGGAAGGGGGCUCCUUUCUUCUCCCCAGGGUCUGCGUGAGUUCUCAGUAGAACCUGGAUGAUCUCCUUGGAGGGAACAUAGUGUCAUUAGAUUCAGAGGCGCAGUGGGACAUAACAAGAGGUCACCUUUCCAAAGUGGCACUUCAGGCUCCCUGCGUUGAAAUCCAAUUACUUCCCACUGGCGACCUGAAUCGCACUCCACACGAAGUGCUGUGAAACUGUGUGGAGGAAACUUGUGCAAUGCCUUUGUGAAGACCUUGAAGAAUUUCGGGGAACUUUAUUUUUGGUGUCUCCAGUACCUGGCAAACUGCCUGAUUCAUAAUCGAAGUUUGAGAAAUACUUCUCAUAUUACAAGGAAGCAGACAAUGAGCCGUGAGAGAGUCGGGAGGAAAACCAGAAUAGCACCGAGUGGCUGAAUUACAAACAGAAGGAUGUCCGCAAAGUCCAAGAUGCAGGUCUCUGCCUGGUGAGGUCCUUCCUGCUGCGUCACCUUGUGGCAUAGUGAAGGCAUCCUGUGGUGAGGGGCACACGGGAAAGGAAUGGGAGCACACUCCAGGGACAGCCUACUUGUGUGACUGAGCGACUCCUGGCACCACUCAGCCCUUGUGACCUCAUCACAUUUAAAUCUCCCACCUCCCAGUACCAUCUCUGUGGCAAACAAAUUUCAACAUGUGGUUUCCAGGGACAUUGAAAACAGACUACCUCUAACUCCAUAGCCAUCAGCUCCUGAGAGUGGAGCCUGAGAGUUCUUGAAGCACUCUCACGUUUCCUGUGAGCCUAUCUCUUCUGGGCCAUGGUGAUUUCUUAGGUGCCAGGGCCACCCCAAUAGCAAAGCUAUUAGAAAUUUGGUGGGGAGCAAACCACGGUGUACAACUGAGAGAGUCUGGGAGUGAAGGA